AGUCAAAGCAAAACCCUAGGAAAGCAAUUAUGGCUCUUGAAGCAUGCAAAGCACACAAAUUAUUUUAUAUACGGGGAAAGUUUCAAAAGCUUCUCGUGGAUUUUGUUCACCCCAAGCUGAUUCUUCAGGCCAUUCAAACCUCUUUGGUAAAGUGU